UAAUAGUAUCCACAAUGCGCCCGAGUGC
rnacentral:sRNA from 1 species